GUGCUGUGCCAGGGCCUUCCCUCUGGCUCUCUCCACCUCCGGCCCCUUCCUCAGGUCUCUCCCCGCCUCACUCCACCCCCUGAAGGCGGUUGGUACGUUCUAGAUGACUCCAAGAGCUUAAAAAGGGCCCGGGAGGGCGGACUCCUCAGAUUUGGUCUUGACCAGCCAGGGCUUCAAGCUGGUCUCCGGUGACUCCUAGUCCUUAGUUUUGAUACCCACCCUUGCGAGAGCUUUGAGCGUGGCGGGUCCCCGGCGUUUGGGGUCCGGGGUGUGUGUGGUUGUCUAGCCUGCAGCCGGGGUCCUCGGCGCGCUCGCGUCCUCCGCCGCUGGCCAGAAGAGACGCGCCCCAGCCCUGCGGGGAUGGAACGGACCGAGCUGCUGAAGCCCCGGACCCUGGCGGACCUCAUCCGCAUCUUACAUGAGCUCUUCGCGGGGGACGAAGUCAACGUGGAGGAGGUGCAGGCUGUACUGGAAGCCUACGAGAGCAAUCCCGCCGAGUGGGCUUUGUAUGCCAAAUUCGAUCAAUACAGGUAUACUCGAAAUCUUGUGGAUCAAGGAAAUGGGAAGUUUAAUCUGAUGAUUCUGUGCUGGGGUGAAGGGCACGGCAGCAGUAUUCAUGAUCACACGGACUCCCACUGCUUUCUGAAGCUGCUGCAAGGAAAUCUAAAGGAGACAUUGUUUGACUGGCCUGACAAAAAAUCCAACGAGAUGAUCAAGAAGUCUGAAAGAACCCUGAGGGAAAACCAGUGUGCCUACAUUAAUGCUACCGUCUUGAUUCCUUCGUUGUUUUCUGUCCUCUUUGGUCUGUAAAGAUUCCAUUGGCUUACACCGAGUAGAGAACGUCAGCCACACAGAGCCUGCCGUGAGCCUCCACUUGUACAGUCCACCCUUCGAUACAUGCCACGCCUUUGACCAGAGAACAGGGCAUAAAAACAAAGUCACCAUGACAUUCCACAGCAAGUUUGGAAUCAGGACUCCAUUUACAACUUCAGGGUCACUGGAGAACAACUAGGGCCCACCAAGCCCUUGGAAGUUUCGCUUUCUGAUCCUCUGAAUGUUUUCCCUUGGACAGAGAGGCCACCCACCAUUUGCUGUCCAGUUACACAGUUAAACAAAGGCUAUGCUCAGUUCUACUGCAAAGGGUGUGUCCUAAGGAAGCAAACAAUACCCUGAGCUAUGCAGGUGGAAAAUCCUACUAAAGAAAAAGUCACUUGAUUUUUUUAAAUUAGGUAUUUACUUCAUUUACAUUUCAAAUGCUAUCCUGAAAAGUUUAAGUUUUUAAGGACCAGGUUCUUUUGUCCUCUAACUCUAUUGGGGGUGGGGGAGAGGUUGUCCAUGGAAACUCUACUUGGGCUUCUGGUGGGUUUUUUUCAGCCUUAGGAAACACUCUGGUCUCUGAACUCUAAUAAUCAAUAAGUAAAAAUAAGAAACCUCAAACUAUCACGUGUCUGUUUUCAUACCUGGAAGUCUCAAUGUGGAAAUCCUUAAUAUACUUUGUAUGUUCUUAAUAUUUGACAAGAAUUUUUUUUUUCAACCCUAUUUGACAAAUUCCUAUGCUGUGGAGACUAGGGACGCAUAGAGCAGUUUGGUGCUUGGUAGUGACCAGCAGGGGGUUAGAGAUGUGCGUGAACCCAGACCUCCCGCAAACAAAAACUGAGACUCGUGUGUAAUGUGUGCCACCACCUUGAGCUGCCACCAAAAUUGCCAAACAACUUUAAUAAAACUGGAUUUGAAAAGAACUACACAUUGCC